GAAUUGGUGUGGUGCAGUGGUUUGAGCAUUGGACUGCAACUCUGGAGACCAGGGUUCGAUUCCCUGUUGGAGCA